AGUGAACGCUGGCGGUAGGCCUAACACAUGCCAGUCAAACGGCAGCACAGUAAGAGCUUGCUCUUACGGGUGGCGAGUGGCGGACGGGUGAGGAAUACAUCGGAAUCUACUUUUUCGUGGGGGAUAACGUAGGGAAACUUACGCUAAUACCGCAUACGACCUACGGGUGAAAGCAGGGGAUCUUCGGACCUUGCGCGAUUGAAUGAGCCGAUGUCGGAUUAGCUAGUUGGCGGGGUAAAGGCCCACCAAGGCGACGAUCCGUAGCUGGUCUGAGAGGAUGAUCAGCCACACUGGAACUGAGACACGGUCCAGACUCCUACGGGAGGCAGCAGUGGGGAAUAUUGGACAAUGGGCGCAAGCCUGAUCCAGCCAUACCGCGUGGGUGAAGAAGGCCUUCGGGUUGUAAAGCCCUUUUGUUGGGAAAGAAAAGCAGCAGGUUAAUACCCCGCUGUUCUGACGGUACCCAAAGAAUAAGCACCGGCUAACUUCGU
rnacentral:rRNA from 1 species